rnacentral:misc_RNA from 1 species
GCAAACUUGGUCAUUUAGAGGAAGUAAAAGUCGUAACAAGGUUUCCGUAGGUGAACCUGCGGAAGGAUCAUUACGAGGUUGAUGCACCGGAGCGGUAGCCUUCGUUGCCGCUUCGGGGCUCCUUCCACCCGUGUAUACCUUACCUGUUGCUUCGGCGGGACCGCAAGUAAUUUGCCGCCGUGGCCUAGGGUCACGGCCAGCGCCCGUCGGGGGAUAUCCAGAAUCCUUGUGGAAUCCUGUUAUGUCUGAGUGUGAAGCAAAAUAGUUAAAACUUUCAACAAAGGAUCUCUUGGUUCCGGCAUCGAUGAAGAACGCAGC